GGGCCUCUUUCGGCGUCCCGGCGGCACCUCUCCCCCGGCUCCCGCCCGCGGGGCUCCGGAACCCCGCGGGGACCCGGUCCGGUCCCGGCCGACAGAGGUCCG
rnacentral:tRNA from 1 species